CUACUUUCAAAACUGUGUAAAGUCCUUAAAGAGCCGAAUUUUUCCUUUUUCGGCAAAAACGCUUCACAGUCGUUUCUCAUUGAAUCCAUGCUUAUCCUAGACUUAUUCCCCAGACUUACUGAAUCGGUUGAAACAUUGUCAUCAAAAUGCAAGGAAUCGUCUUCUGUAUGAAUAACUUGUACGAUUUCGCUUGAAUUCUCAGUAGUGAUAUUAUCAUUUUCAGUACUGUUCAUACAUGAACAUUGUUCAGGGUCCUGGACUUCAAUAUCGUUGGCCGGAAUCUCAAUUGUUUCCUCUAAAGUAGUUAAAUUUUCAUCCUCUUUUACUUCCUUGAUGUCUUCCAGCUCAUCCUUCUCGAUAUCAUCUUGACGAGUUUCUUCAACUUCAUCUUGUAAGAUGGAGUUUUCUGCUUGCACUUCAUCAUCUACAGCGUUCGUCUCGGUCAUAGAGAUGUCCUGAGAUAUAUCGAUGUUUUCUUCAGCUUCAUCGAUUAGCUCAGUAACCUUGUCAGGCUUCUCAACGAACCCAAUUGCAGUCUGAUUAAUACCUUCGCAUGCAUUGACCAUAUCAAGGGAGGAAUUUUUGUCGUUCAUUUGUCCUUCAUAUACUUUGUUUUCACAGUCAUCAGUUGUAGUAGAUUGUUCCACCACGACAGAUUCUAGAACAUCAUUCUGGUUGUUGUUUGCUUCAUCAACGGCUUCUUUUCCAAGAUCAUUUUCUUCACUGCCUUUGUCAAUAUUAUCAGAAUGCUCUACCUCAACAGGUAUGGUUAAAGUAUUUUCAAUCUCGUCAUUCACAUCAGUAGACUGGGUCAUUUCAACUGUACUGAGGAUGCCGCCAAUAAGAGAUUUGUCAUCUUUCUCAGACGGCUGAUAAUCCUUUUCAGCUUCUUCUACAUUGCUGUUUUCAUUGAUCGGUUGUUCUAACUUCACGGGUUCUGAGGUUAUGACUUCUUCAUCAGUUGUAUCAGGGACAACGACGUCAGCACCCGUUUGAACAGGAAGGCUACAGUCAACUGGAAAGUUUUCUGAAUUUAUAGUUAAUUCAGCUUGCGCUGGUUUCUCGCUACCGUCAAGUAGGACAUCACUGCUCAAGCUCUCCUUCCUCAAACGCGGUUCAUUAUCAGGGGUGCUAAGACUAUUCCCUUGUUCAUUUUUGUUAGUUUCAGACCCAUCUGUAGAAGUCGAAUUUUCAAAUUCUUCGUUAAUGUUUUGCUUAGGUGCUGGUUGAGUCUCGGAGAUGGUUUUCCUGUCAUCAUCGGAGGAAUAGGAAGGACUAGAAAUUUCAGAAAUUUCAUCCUCUAACUGCAAAUUUUGUUGAGUGUAUGGUCCCAUUAAUGGCAUACCAAAAUCAAAUGAAUUCUCCAAAUUGAGGCUUGCAAAUAUAUUCUCCAUUUGCAAUUGCUUUAGCGUAAGGUUGCUUACAGUAGCAGAGUUCUUCUCCUGAACUUCUUUUUCCAUUUCCAAAGUUGUAACGCGAGAUUGUAAUAACUCAUUUUCUCUUGUCAAAGCCUCUAAUCUGUUCUGCAAUGCAUUGUUCUGCUUUAUUGCAUAAUCGGAAUCGGGAUCAUCAGGCUGGGAAUUCAUAGCCUUUACAACUUCAAGCUCAGCACGUAAGGCAACCAUCUCGUCGUUCAAAUUUCUAACCUGGUCUUUCGCAUAAUGAUGUGCCUUUAUUUGUUGCUCAAAUUGCAGUUUGACAUGAGAAAUCUGAGACAACAGAUCCUUUUCUAUAAGCUUGGCAGCUUUUUUCUCAUUUUCCAAUUGCUGGAUAUUAGACUCCAAUUGCAACAAGGACUGCUGUUGCUGAUACUUUUCAGAAAGAUAUACUGAACACUGGGCACAAAGUGUAUUCGCCUUAUCUUUACUCAGGUUGGAGGUAUCCGAAUGGUCAUCUGCUAGAGAUGAAUCAUACGUACAAGGCAUUGUUUCUUUAGGUUUAUCGUUAUUUUCAGCGGCCUCAGAAAACCCUUCCCUAUGAAGGCGAGCCAUAUGUUUACUCUGCUCUUCAAUGAUAUCUUGAAGCUCCUUAAGCUUUUUCGUAUUUUCAUCUCGGACACUUGCUAGAAGUUCAUUGCUUGAAGCAAGCUCUUUCUUUUGUGUUUGGUAUAAUGACAAUAGAUGGUGCAGAAGAAAGCAAAAUGAUUCAAUGUCAAAAUCAGAUUUCAAAUGUUUAUCGAGUUCAUCAUCAGGAAGUGCAUUACUCUUCUCUGGCGUAUCAUUGUCGCCGCGAAACAGCUCAGUAAGUAACCGCCAAAAGUUCACAAUAGCGCGAGGAGCAAUAUCUUUCGCAUCAGCAUCUUCCUCCAACUUUUUCUCGUAUAUUUGUUUCAAAAUAAGCUCUAAGUGACGAACUUGCUCGAGUAGCCGUUCACCAGCGUUCAUUUGUACUGCAUCUAGGACAGAUGGUUCACGAAUUGAAUUACCCAUUGAUUGAGCAAUUUCCAGUAUACGGCUCAUACGCUCUACAAGCUGCUCAAUUUCCUCAUUGUUCAUUAUUUCUUCAUCUCGAAAUCCAGUUGCGCUCUCAUCAGCGGUGAUGGCAGAAACCGGUGAAGAUACCUUGCUACAGCUACCUGGUUUAAGCUCAGCAAUGCACACAGCAACCAUAUGCUUCAAUAGGUGCAUAUAAAAUUCUGCAAGUUUCCUUUCAAUAAGCCAUAUCUUAGAAGAAAGUUCUCUAACUCUACGAGAACAUUGUUCGUAAUGCUCUAUCGUACUUUGUUUAUGUUUUCCUUUUUUCUCCUUAGCUUGGGCAACCAUCAAAUUCUUAGCAGCUUCUCUAAUUUUGGCUUCGACAGCCAGUUUUUUUAUAGAAACACCAAGUAAUCCCUGCAGGUUUUUUAUUUUCUGUUUUAUUUCUUCAACGUCUUUUCCGGAAAGGUACACCCAACCUUUUGCAUCUUUAACAGCAGACGCAACUAAAAGGGUUCGCAUUUCCUCCUCACCUGUAGAUAUAGACACAUCUUCAGAACUGCUAGCCUUUCCUACAUACACGAAAGUGGAUAAAAAUGGAUUGACUGGUCGUGUAUUAAUUAAUAUGCUUGAAGAAGGUGGUUCAGGAUUCCCAUAUUUCUCAAUUAACUCAGGUUCAUAUUCAUCUGUACUUAAACAUCCAUGAAACCCCAUUUUUGGGUAAAAUGGGUAAAUGUAAAUGUUGAAUCUUUUGUUUGUUUACAGCCGCAUACGCUUUAUUUUGUAUGAAUUUCGUUUCCAUGACAACUAACAUUGAAAUGUAAAUAAACAAAGCACCUAAGCCAACCUAUUAUCACGUUGCAAUGAUCGGUCGCUAAGCAUUUCAUUCUCCAGAUUAUACGACUAUUAAAGUCCCUUUGCAAUUUUAGGUUUGUGUAUCGGUGGGCUCUGCUGUUUGUUAUUUAUCGACGUUGAACCGGUAUUUUGAUCAACAUUCAUUAUGGUGUUUGCAAAUAAUCCACAUUACUUUUUAUAUGUUAAAAGAUUAUUUAGAGCAUACUUUAACGGUCCUACACUUACAUUUAUUACCCUAUGUGACGAAUUCGACCUACACAUUUUUACUUAGACCACCUCAAAAAAAGUGAUAAUAUUUUCA